rnacentral:rRNA from 1 species
UACGAAGGGGGCUAGCGUUGUUCGGAAUCACUGGGCGUAAAGCGCACGUAGGCGGAUUGUUAAGUCAGGGGUGAAAUCCUGGAGCUCAACUCCAGAACUGCCUUUGAUACUGGCGAUCUCGAGUCCGGGAGAGGUGAGUGGAACUGCGAGUGUAGAGGUGAAAUUCGUAGAUAUUCGCAAGAACACCAGUGGCGAAGGCGGCUCACUGGCCCGGUACUGACGCUGAGGUGCGAAAGCGUGGGGAGCAAACAGG